UACGGGGGGAGCAAGCGUUGUUCGGAUUUACUGGGCGUAAAGGGCGCGUAGGCGGUCAGCACAAGUCAGUUGUGAAAUCUCCGGGCUUAACUCGGAAAGGUCAACUGAUACUGUGCGACUAGAGUGCAGAAGGGGCAACUGGAAUUCUCGGUGUAGCGGUGAAAUGCGUAGAUAUCAGGAAGAACACCCGUGGCGAAGGCGGUUCUCUGGGACGGUACUGACGCUGGAGACGCGAAAGCGUGGGGAGCGAACAGG
rnacentral:rRNA from 1 species